UACAUGAUAGUUCAAAAUUAUCAGAUUUUUAUAACUGCAAGAAGUUCCCGAAGAUGCUGUUAAUGUCCUAAAAGGGUAAAGGCAAAGCAAGUAUUUUAGCAUCAGGCUGUUAUUUGAAAAAAAAAAAAAAAAAAAAAAAAAAAAAAAAAAAAUCCAAAUUCUGCACUUCUAAUAUUUGCUAAAUGGAAUAGAAGACAUGGAAUCUCUUGGACCAGCUCAGAAUAAACAGCCCAUUAUAGUGUGUAUUACAAGUUCAUUCUAUAUUAAAGCAGUAAAUCACUUAAAGCAUGCCCAAAUCAUGCCAUGAAGGCAUUUGACAUUCUAUUUAAAACUAAUUUUGUAUUUAGCGUUCAAUAUGCACAUACAUCAACAAAUUUUUAUAAUUUUGUGGCAAGCCUUUUGUAUAAUGUCAGCACUCCUAGAGCUUGUGUGGACUCUUUAAAUACAUG